GCCCUAGUAACGGCGAGUGAAGCGGCAACAGCUCAAAUUUGAAAUCUGGCGCAAGCCCGAGUUGUAAUUUGUAGAGGAUGCUUCUGGGUAGCGACCGAUCUAAGUUCCUUGGAACAGGACGUCAUAGAGGGUGAGAAUCCCGUAUGUGACCGGCCCGCACCCUUUACGUAGCUCCUUCGACGAGUCGAGUUGUUUGGGAAUGCAGCUCUAAAUGGGAGGUAAAUUUCUUCUAAAGCUAAAUACCGGCCAGAGACCGAUAGCGCACAAGUAGAGUGAUCGAAAGAUGAAAAGUACUUUGGAAAGAGAGUUAAAAAGCACGUGAAAUUGUUGAAAGGGAAGCGCCUGCAACCAGACUUCGCGGCAGUGUUCCGCCGGUCUUCUGACCGGUUCAUUCUCUGUCGCGAGGCCAUCAUCGUCUGGGCCCGCCGGAUAAGACCUGAGGAAUGUGGCUCCCCCUCGGGGGAGUGUUAUAGCCUCUGGUGAUGCGGCGUGGCUCGGGCGAGGUCCGCGCUUCGGCAAGGAUGAUGGCGUAAUGGUUGUCGGCGGCCCGUCUUGAAACACGGACCAAGGAGUCUAACAUCUAUGCGAGUGUUCGGGUGUCAAACCCCUACGCGUAAUGAAAGUGAACGGAGGUGGGAACCGCAAGGUGCACCAUCGACCGAUCCUGAUGUCCUCGGAUGGAUUUGAGUAAGAGCAUAGCUGUUGGGACCCGAAAGAUGGUGAACUAUGCCUGAAUAGGGUGAAGCCAGAGGAAACUCUGGUGGAGGCUCGCAGCGGUUCUGACGUGCAAAUCGAUCGUCAAAUUUGGGUAUAGGGGCGAAAGACUAAUCGAACCAUCUAGUAGCUGGUUCCUGCC
rnacentral:rRNA from 1 species